UACGAAGGGGGCUAGCGUUGCUCGGAAUCACUGGGCGUAAAGCGCACGUAGGCGGAUUGUUAAGUCAGGGGUGAAAUCCUGGAGCUCAACUCCAGAACUGCCUUUGAUACUGGCGAUCUUGAGUCCGGGAGAGGUGAGUGGAACUGCGAGUGUAGAGGUGAAAUUCGUAGAUAUUCGCAAGAACACCCGUGGCGAAAGCGGCUCUCUGGGACGGUACUGACGCUGAGACGCGAAAGCGUGGGGAGCGAACAGG
rnacentral:rRNA from 1 species